AACGAACGCUGGCGGCAUGCCUAACACAUGCAAGUCGAACGAGACCUUCGGGUCUAGUGGCGCACGGGUGCGUAACGCGUGGGAACCUGCCCUUAGGUUCGGAAUAGCUCCCCGAAAGGGGUGCUAAUACCGGAUAAUGUCUUCGGACCAAAGAUUUAUCGCCUUUGGAUGGGCCCGCGUUGGAUUAGCUAGUUGGUAGGGUAAAAGCCUACCAAGGCGACGAUCCAUAGCUGGUCUGAGAGGAUGAUCAGCCACACUGGGACUGAGACACGGCCCAGACUCCUACGGGAGGCAGCAGUGGGGAAUAUUGGACAAUGGGCGAAAGCCUGAUCCAGCAAUGCCGCGUGAGUGAUGAAGGCCUUAGGGUUGUAAAGCUCUUUUACCCGGGAUGGUAAUGACAGUACCGGGAGAAUAAGCGCCGGCUAACUCCGUG
rnacentral:rRNA from 1 species